rnacentral:misc_RNA from 1 species
CUUGGUGCCAAUAGGUCCUUAGAAAAAUUUAAAGCCUGUUGUCUUUUUAAGAAAUUCAAACAACAGGUUCUCAACGGUCUUCCCUAAGAAAUCAGCGAGAAGAUCAUACAAAACAUCACUCAAUCUAGAGCACAAGAGCAACUGGAUUUAUUCAAAACCUGUCUCCAUUUCACAAAGAACAAUCAGCAAAAUUACAAUGGAUGGUCAUGGGAAUGGCAAUUUCAUUCAAAACCCCAUUUCUAUCGCACCUUGGAGCACUCUCAAAGGACUCCUCUUUGCUAUCCAAAUUGUGAACGCAGCCUAGAUUUCAGUAUUCCUCAUUUCACAGCAGCUUGGAUAUCUGGAAUUCGAUUUCUAGAUCCGAGAAAGCUAUUUAAAUAGGGAAUGUUAGCUGGAGUCAGGAUUACAAAAUCUGAUUGUGAAGCGGCUAGGUUCUUGGAAAAUAGAGUUCAUCGAGAAGUCAGAAAAUUUCUACUUUCUCAAAAACAAGUCAAUGUAAACAUCAUCUCAACACCCCCAGAAGUAUUAGUAAAUGGAGAGCUUCAACAAGCAAUUCAUUGCUUUUACCUGGAUAUAAAAAUUCCUCCAUUUUUACCUCUUUCAAACUGACCAUGUAAUCAUGAAGACCAUCUUACUCAACUCAACAAAU